rfam:Roseburia sp. CAG:309 genomic scaffold, scf353
UAAUAUGAUUAAGAAAUCAAAAAAGAUUUCUGAGACAAACACGCUUCACAAUGUGCGGCAAAGAAACAUUGUUUAUGCAAAGGCACUUCGCAAUGUGUGCUCAAACAUUGC